rnacentral:rRNA from 1 species
AAAUUGAAGAGUUUGAUCAUGGCUCAGAUUGAACGCUGGCGGCAGGCCUAACACAUGCAAGUCGAACGGUAACAGGAAACAGCUUGCUGUUUCGCUGACGAGUGGCGGACGGGUGAGUAAUGUCUGGGAAACUGCCUGAUGGAGGGGGAUAACUACUGGAAACGGUAGCUAAUACCGCAUAAUGUCGCAAGACCAAAGAGGGGGACCUUAGGGCCUCUUGCCAUCGGAUGUGCCCAGAUGGGAUUAGCUUGUUGGUGGGGUAACGGCUCACCAAGGCGACGAUCCCUAGCUGGUCUGAGAGGAUGACCAGCCACACUGGAACUGAGACACGGUCCAGACUCCUACGGGAGGCAGCAGUGGGGAAUAUUGCACAAUGGGCGCAAGCCUGAUGCAGCCAUGCCGCGUGUAUGAAGAAGGCCUUCGGGUUGUAAAGUACUUUCAGCGGGGAGGAAGGGAGUAAAGUUAAUACCUUUGCUCAUUGACGUUACCCGCAGAAGAAGCACCGGCUAACUCCGUGCCAGCAGCCGCGGUAAUACGGAGGGUGCAAGCGUUAAUCGGAAUUACUGGGCGUAAAGCGCACGCAGGCGGUUUGUUAAGUCAGAUGUGAAAUCCCCGGGCUCAACCUGGGAACUGCAUCUGAUACUGGCAAGCUUGAGUCUCGUAGAGGGGGGUAGAAUUCCAGGUGUAGCGGUGAAAUGCGUAGAGAUCUGGAGGAAUACCAGUGGCGAAGGCGGCCCCCUGGACGAAAACUGACGCUCAGGUGCGAAAGCGUGGGGAGCAAACAGGAUUAGAUACCCUGGUAGUCCACGCCGUAAACGAUGUCGACUUGGAGGUUGUGCCCUUGAGGCGUGGCUUCCGGAGCUAACGCGUUAAGUCGACCGCCUGGGGAGUACGGCCGCAAGGUUAAAACUCAAAUGAAUUGACGGGGGCCCGCACAAGCGGUGGAGCAUGUGGUUUAAUUCGAUGCAACGCGAAGAACCUUACCUGGUCUUGACAUCCACGGAAGUUUUCAGAGAUGAGAAUGUGCCUUCGGGAACCGUGAGACAGGUGCUGCAUGGCUGUCGUCAGCUCGUGUUGUGAAAUGUUGGGUUAAGUCCCGCAACGAGCGCAACCCUUAUCCUUUGUUGCCAGCGGUCCGGCCGGGAACUCAAAGGAGACUGCCAGUGAUAAACUGGAGGAAGGUGGGGAUGACGUCAAGUCAUCAUGGCCCUUACGACCAGGGCUACACACGUGCUACAAUGGCGCAUACAAAGAGAAGCGACCUCGCGAGAGCAAGCGGACCUCAUAAAGUGCGUCGUAGUCCGGAUUGGAGUCUGCAACUCGACUCCAUGAAGUCGGAAUCGCUAGUAAUCGUGGAUCAGAAUGCCACGGUGAAUACGUUCCCGGGCCUUGUACACACCGCCCGUCACACCAUGGGAGUGGGUUGCAAAAGAAGUAGGUAGCUUAACCUUCGGGAGGGCGCUUACCACUUUGUGAUUCAUGACUGGGGUGAAGUCGUAACAAGGUAACCGUAGGGGAACCUGCGGUUGGAUCACCUCCUUACCUUAAAGAAGC